rnacentral:rRNA from 1 species
AGUGAACGCUGGCGGUAGGCCUAACACAUGCAAGUCGAACGGCAGCACCGUAAGAGCUUGCUCUUACGGGUGGCGAGUGGCGGACGGGUGAGGAAUACAUCGGAAUCUACUUUUUCGUGGGGGAUAACGUAGGGAAACUUCCGCUAAUACCGCAUACGACCUACGGGUGAAAGCAGGGGAUCUUCGGACCUUGCGCGAUUGAAUGAGCCGAUGUCGGAUUAGCUAGUUGGCGGGGGAAAGGCCCACCAAGGCGACGAUCCGUAGCUGGUCUGAGAGGAUGAUCAGCCACACUGGAACUGAGACACGGUCCAGACUCCUACGGGAGGCAGCAGUGGGGAAUAUUGGACAAUGGGCGCAAGCCUGAUCCAGCCAUACCGCGUGGGUGAAGAAGGCCUUCGGGUGGUAAAGCCCUUUUGUUGGGAAAGAAAAGCAGCAGGUUAAUACCCCGCGGUUCUGACGGUACCCAAAGAAUAAGCACCGGCUAACUUCGUG